rnacentral:lncRNA from 1 species
ACAGGAGUACAGUGAGCCUAGAAAUCUCAGAGCAUUGAAGAGAUUAUCAGUGAAUUAAGUAACCUGGUAGUAUCCAUGAGCCUGAAAUGUGUACACUGUGCUUGUCUCCACAGUCUUAACUACUUCCCCCAUCUUCUUCCUCCUCUUCAUCUUCUCAACUCCAGAAAGUUGAAGGAACUUAGUCAUUCUUUCAACACAUUCUUCUGGAGUGCCUAUGUGCCACAUACUCCUUGGUUUUCAAAACGUAAAACAGUCAACAAAACCUAUGAUAUUCUCUUUUUUGAGGAACCUGCUGAGUGCCUUUAGUCAAAAUCUCCAGGAUAACCUCACUAACACUGGAGCAAACCAGGAUCAUCUACCUCUCCACAUGACACAUGGAGGACAUACCACUUCUGCAGUGUCCUGCCAAGACUGCGUGAUCUGAGUCCAAUUACAAGGGAUGAUCAGACAAACCCAAAUCUAUGGGCAGCUACAGAACUCAAGGUGGAAGAAAACAAAAAAAGAUUGAGGGCCUAUUCCAGAUUAAAGGAGGUUAAAGAUUCCUACUACUGAAACACAGCACAUGAUCCAGGAUUGGGUCCUGAUUAGGAAAAAAAAAAAGCCAUAAAAGACACAUUAGGUGAUAUUUGAUAUGGAUUAUUAAAUAGAUGUUAGUAUACAUAAGCAUUGUAUUUCCAGAUUCGGAUAGUUACAUGUUAUACUUAUAUACGUACAUAAUGUAUAUAAUACAUAUAAUAAAUAUACGAUAUAUAGAGAGAACAUAUGUAUACAGAUAGAGAGACAGAUACACAUGAAACAUGGAGGAAGAAAGAAGAAAGAGGGAGAGAUUUAAAUCACAUGGGACCAAAGGUACAAUAAAAACAACUGAUGAAUAUAGACAAAGAAUAUGUAGCAAUUCCUUGAUCUAGUCUUGUAAAUUUUCUGUAAGUUUAAAUUAUAUAAAAAUAAAAUGUUAAAAAAAAAUUUCCUACUCUAGGGGAACUCAACUCUGUGUUUGGG